rnacentral:rRNA from 1 species
GACAGAGGGUGCAAGCGUUGUUCGGAAUUACUGGGCGUAAAGCGCGUGUAGGCGGCCCUGUAAGUCGGGCGUGAAAUCCCACGGCUCAACCGUGGAAGUGCACUCGAAACUACAGGGCUAGAGUCCUGGAGAGGAAGGUGGAAUGCUUGGUGUAGAGGUGAAAUUCGUAGAUAUCAAGCGGAACACCGGUGGCGAAGGCGGCCUUCUGGACAGUGACUGACGCUGAGACGCGAAAGCGUGGGGAGCAAACAGG